UGUGUUUUUCACACAGCCGCACAGUCACUUCUGUCGGUUUAAUAUUUUGAAAUAAACACUUUUCGCACCAGCAGUGUGGAACUAAAUUAGGAAAUUUUGGACCCAGAACUAUUCUUAAUAACAGUUAGCACAUGACCUUUGGCUCAGGGUUGUGGGGCAUUAGCAUCCUGUGGUCCGGGUCCUGUCAAUGCUGGCUCUAAUGACCAACUUUUCCAGCUGGUGUCAGCACUGGACCACUGCUGAACCAGUACUGACAACACAGUGUUCUUUUCUCAGGAAAGCAUCAUUUGUGCAUUCCAGAAUAAGUCUGUAAAGCUGCCUAUCAAAGCAAGACUUCCCCAGUUCAGCUGUUACCUUUUUACAAACCAGUAGAUUUUGUGAUCAAUGGUACGGCAUGACCAAGACUUGGUCCCACUUUAGCCUGGCCCAGAGAUGCACUAAGAGACAGUACCUUGUCUGUUCCAGGUCUGGUUUAAGCUGGUACAUGGCCCAGCCAUGUACCAGCUUGUACAUGGCCCAAACUCUGUGCCAGUUCAUGCCAGGUCUGAGCCAACCUUAAACCAAAAGUAAUGCGCUUGUCACAUUUGCAUCACCUCCACCAAGGAGGCUGUGAGCUUGUUUUCGAGGUUUUGUGGCUGAUGAUGGAAUGACAUUCGAUUGGAAUGGGUUUCCUUUGUUAGGAGGCAUGACUCACACUGAGGGAGAUGGUAAAUUCUGCCAUGCAGAAAGAGCACCAAGCAGAACCAUGGUACUUGAUCUGAAACAGAACAGAACUUGAUCUGAAAGAGACAGAUGAGGUGGUUCCACUAUCAGAUUACAAUUCUUCUGAGAGAUCUCCAAGCAAUGGCUGACUAUGAGGAGCCUCCAUGGUAGACCCAGACAAUAAUAAAUAGAUUGGAAAGCCAAUUUGGGCCAGGAACACCUUGGGAUUCCCUGGAAGGAGCUGGUGAAUGUUGCCCAGGAGAAGGACAUAUCAUCUUCUUGGUUUAAUCUGCUGUCACAGUGAGCAGGUUCCAGAUUAGUGGUGGAAAACGUGACUUUUAAGGACAACUACCAGAGGUGGUUCCUACUAUGACUACAAUGACUGCUCUGCAUUUUACUGAGUGUGUUGGGGACUCUUACUAAGAAUGUUCCUAGUGUUUCCGAUGUGCUGGUACUCUGACUUGCCAAGUCUAUACCAUCUUCUGGACUCUGUUCUUCAAGUUUCAUCCCCUGUUCGUAGAAGAGACUCAAAAUCAUUUCUCAUCCUUUGGUGCAAAGUGACAAGUUCAGCUUCCAGUUUCUCAAACAGUUCCUGUG